AUCCAGCUGGUGAGUCCCAAAUAGGACGAAACGCGCGUCCCGGAU
rnacentral:hammerhead_ribozyme from 1 species